rnacentral:lncRNA from 1 species
AGGUGAGGCGACUCGUGCGCACGUGUAGCACGUACGGCAGCCGGCCAGCAGCCGCGCCCAAAGGAGCUCUUGUUGCAGCCCUAUGGCACCCAAACGAUCGUUACGAUCGCUGUUACCUAGGUCGUAGAUCGUUACCCCUCCGGCAUCGUUACGAUCUCGCUACGAUCUGCUUACCAUCUUAACCAGCCAUGGUAACAGCCUCGUCACGGUCUACAAGGCACACCAGUAACCAUCACUUUGAGGCCCGUUACAUGGCAGCCUUGUGCUUUGCUGAAGGCCUACAUCAGUACUAAAGUAAGAACUAUGUAGUCCUACCGCUACUCCACAUGCUAGCCAUCUGUCAAGGCUUGAUAGCACGACAAGUGCAGAUGCUCAUGCAACACUUAUGCAACACUACCGCAAGUCCAUACGUACAUGCAACAAUACGCCAAGUCCCUAUCGUCUGCGUGUGAACGUGCAACUAGCCACUGGCAGCAACCACUUGCAUGUCUGCUGGGCACAACAUCUCCGACCCACCACCUUGACGCCCGCCGCCACCACAGCUACCAUGCCAACUAUGCCACUGGCGCCGCCGCGCCUGCCUCCAUCUCUAGCACCAGACAGCUGGUGUCAAGCUGGCUCCUGUAGUUUUGCUUCCACCGGCAGCGCCUGCAUGCACGCGUGCACACACAUAGACACACCCAGUUAAUUGUCUGCCACAAGGUGGGCAGGUGCCAAUGCAUGUCAAGGCCAGCCAUGGACAGAGUGCUUGGCAGUGCACGGGGCCUACCACACAAGGCGCGUCUGUGUGCACAUGUGCAUGUGUGUGCGCCCACACGUGUCACGGACACUCACCGUUGAUGAGCACAAUGCUGGAGGUGUAGGGGCAGUCCAGCCAACCGUACGGUCCAGAGGGGACAACAGGGGUUGGGCAGCAAGCUGUGGCGGGGCAGGGUGUGUGCGUGUGGAGGGGAGGGGUGGUAUGUGAGACACAAGGCACCGUGGCAAGGGAGCCAUAAAAACACCUUACAGCGAGCGCUAGUAAGGGAGGCAGCAGACAGUCACUAGUUGAAGGCGGGGGUUCCCACCAGACAACCCAACACAGCGCGAGAAGUUGAACCAUGCACACUGGCUUGCUAGGUACCACUAGGUUCAACGCAUCCCAUCGUCAUUCAACCUGCGGACUAACCUGCGGACUAUGGCGUGCGGGGCGAGGGUGAUGUUGACAGAACGCGAUGUUGAAUGGCGUUGUUGACGCCGGCGACCGAGACUUCUCGGUCGGACAUUUGAAGCGCAGCUGAUAGAUCAUGAGGCAUAGUCGUUUCUCUCACGUAAUAGCUGGCUGCAGCUGACGUGUGAGCAGCGUCGCCAAGCCGGUCAACGAGCGGUCAGCAGCGUGAGGGCUCGCGUCCCAAGCCAGCCAAGCAGCGUCUGCCGCCAGCUCUUGUUCUACUGACAUUUGAGCUAUCAUAAAUUUGUGUUUACGAAGAGAAGUAGCGAGGGCGAGAGAGCAAACUGGGGGAGAGGAACAGAAGUGCAGCGGCACCGGCAUGAAGUGCAGUGUAUCAGUAUAUGUAUGGUACUAUAUCAGUAUAUGUAUAGUAGUAUCAGGGGCCGCUCUAUGCAGCUUAUUAAGUCAGGCCCGCGAGAACCCCAUGCAGGAACCCUGUUACCCGUCGCAAAGGCCCCGUUACCCCUUGCUUAGGGUCGUUACCACGCCCAAGGGCCUGUGUCACAAUGUCACACAGUCGGCCUACAGCCCCCAUACUUCCUCGUUCGCGAGCGCAACGACUACAUAAGUUUAAGGCUUCACAUAUUAGACUGUUUUAACACAAACUGUCACUACAAUACGCACUUUGCAGACUAGAAUGUCGGCAUGUUCACUUGCCAGCGACGAAAGGCACUCCGCCCAGUCCGCAAUGUGCGCAUGUAUGACAAGUAGCUAAGAGGUGACCACAGCACCGCUCGGCUUGCGUCCUGGGCGUGCCACGCCGUGCGGGCCCGAAACAAUCGUUACCCCCUGUUCGGGGAUCGUCACCCCCGUUUUUGGAUCGUUACCACCAUUUGGGUGCCAUAGGGCAGCCGCUGAUGCGUGGCUGUGGCGGGAUUGCGGAUUAAGUUACCGUGUCGGAGCCUAGCUGGCAGCAGUAACCUUGCUGCGACGCACCAUGCGACGACAAACCCUUGACCGCCCAGUUUCCCACCCCUGCCUGCCUUUUCGGGUUUCCACGCAGAUCUCCCAGCUGCUUCCGCUCGCCGACAAUGUGGAGAAGCUGUCUGGGCGCUGCACCUUCUGCGAGCAGCAGGGCCGCCGCAGCGCCUCGCACUUCACGCUGCGCAUCGCCGCCAGCACACAGCAGGAGCUGGUGGGUGCAGCAUGGUGGGCGAACUUGUGUCGGCCUGGCGCUGGCUGGUAGCUCUGUGCACAAAGCCAGCCAUACCGCACUACGGUAUGUAACCGUGCAUGUGACGUUCCCCACUACAGGUUGGUGGCGCUGAGGCGUACGCGCCCGUGUGCCGGGAGCACUACGUGCAGCUGAGCCGGGUGCGGGAGCACGGCGCACCCACUGCUGAUACAACUGAGGCGGAGGAGGAACUGGUGCCGCAGACGGCGUGAUGGCGAGCCGUUUGUGCUGGAUGGCUUUGUAGCAAAGGCUGGUGUGAUGGCGUCAGGGAGGGCUGGCAUGGGGAGCAAGACUCGGAGACAUGGUAUGCUGAGGAUAAGCAGCAUGCUUGCUUUCCCAAUGUGCAUAUCCGUCCUCUGGUAGGUUCUGUGGUGGCGCAUGUAAGCGGUGUCAACAGCCUCAGGUGCGUGCCCAUUGCAAGUGCGUGCCGCAUCCGCAGUGCCGCGCCUCUCCUCUUAACAGAGCGCACGGUGUGCUGCUCUAUGGCGUGAUACCACCCACAUACGCGCGACGUUGAAGCUGUGGGGCAUGAAAGUCUCUCGUGCCGAAGGAUGGUAGUAAAACUGUGAGCGCGGCACGAUGCAUGCAUGGCACGCAAAUCCGCUGAUCCAUCUUCCUGUAAAUUACAGGCAUUUUGCUGGACCAGCUGUUCUUUACUUGUGCGCACAUAUGAUGGAUUGCGCCUCAACGCAGGGUUUACCUGAGUUUACGCGAAACCUUCUUCCUCGUUCCAGCGCUUUCCUUGGCCAGAUACUAGGGACUUGACAUUACGAACAAGCAUCCAGCGAACAUGACAAUUAACUGGCUGCUUAGACUGCAGAAGAGUAGUUGCGCGAAAGCACACAUG